rnacentral:misc_RNA from 1 species
GGAAGCGUUGACACGUACCUUUGUGGUCUCAGGAGUCAUUGUUGCUGGUGAUAUACUGCUUAAGGCCAUCUAUUUAUUUGGUUUUGGGGUCCCACUGUUCAUUGAUAGUGAAGUAACCCCAAACCGGGUGAAAUGGGGUUUAUGGAUCGUCCACAAGCUGUUGAUCUCUUCAGUUUAUGGCCUCAUUUUGUUCAUGUACCACUCGAAAUGGCGAGAAAGAUUGCCUGCAAGGCCUGCAUUCUACAACUAUAUCUGCGCCAUGUCCUUUUUAAAUGUUCUGGGACUGUUUGCCUGCUUGCUAGCAGGAAAUGGAUCGGGAUUCGG